AGGAGGGGCAGAGUAUCAAGAGGAGGUGCAGAUUGGUCUCGAUGGGUUCCGCAUGCUUAAUCCCAGCACAAGCAGGACCCUAAGGAUUUAUCCCUUGAUACACUGACGAAAUGGGAGGUUUUGGAUUCAACUGUAUUUGUGAUUUGUGCCAAGACUUCGGUAUAUUUUGAAGCAAAGCUAAUACGGCUGAAGUCAAACAGCUAUACCUCCAAUACUUUGCUUGACACUGUGACAGCAGCAACACUCCAGGUAUUAGAACACCACCAUUCUCUUUUCACUAUCCGUGAGUAGCCUCCUGACUAUAUUCAAAACAGUUGAAAUUCUUCUUCUCAAUGCUCUAAUGUCUGUAUAUUUUUUAGUUUUGUUUCUUUGGCAGUGUUGCUGCUUCACAGUUGAACUAUAUUAUAGUAAAAGGGCCCGUGCGUUACAACGUGGACAUACAUAUUUUAGUGGCUAGUUCUACAAAAACAUAUUUUAGUGGCUUCACAUUUUCUAAAAGCAAAAAAGUCAUGGAUUCCAUCGUAGAAUAUAGAAGUAUGUGUUUAGAAACCUUGUGCUCAAAACAAUAUGUUUAGAAACCUCAAAAAUAAUUUACCAAUUAAAAACUUUACUUGCA